rnacentral:rRNA from 1 species
CCUACGGGGGGCUGCAGUAGGGAAUUUUCGGCAAUGGGGGGAACCCUGACCGAGCAACGCCGCGUGAACGAAGAAGUUAUUCGUAAUGUAAAGUUCUUUUAACAGGGAAGAAAGAGAAAUUUGACGGUACCUGAAGAAUAAGCUCCGGCAAACUACGUGCCAGCAGCCGGGUUAAUACGUAGGGAGCUAGCGUUAUCCGGAUUUAUUGGGCGUAAGGGAUGCGUAGAUGGAAUAGUAAGUAUUUGGUAAAAAUGCUGGGCUCAACCCAGUAGGGCAAAAGAAACUGCAAAGCUAGAGUAUGAUAGAGGCAAGUGGAACUACGUGUGUAGCGGUGAAAUGCGUAAAUAUAUGUAAGAACACCGGUGGCGAAGGCGGCUUGCUGGGUCGAUACUGACAUUGAGGCACGAAAGCGUGGGGAGCAAACAGGAUUAGAUACCCGUGUAGUC